rnacentral:rRNA from 1 species
CUGUACAGUUCAGAGUUUGAUCCUGGCUCAGGAUGAACGCUGGCGGCGUGCUUAACACAUGCAAGUCGAACGGAAAGGCCACAGCUUGCUGUGGUACUCGAGUGGCGAACGGGUGAGUAACACGUGGGUGAUCUGCCCUGUACUUCGGGAUAAGCUUGGGAAACUGGGUCUAAUACCGGAUAUGACCACUUUUUGGAUGGGGUGGUGGAAAGCUUUUGCGGUAUGGGAUGAGCUCGCGGCCUAUCAGCUUGUUGGUGGGGUAAUGGCCUACCAAGGCGUCGACGGGUAGCCGGCCUGAGAGGGUGUACGGCCACAUUGGGACUGAGAUACGGCCCAG